rnacentral:rRNA from 1 species
AUGGCGACAUACGCCUCCUCCCAACGUCAACCGCACGCUCGUACGCGGUCUCGAUGUGCCCGACGCGUCCAGUAUGCACCCAUAACACGCACCGGUCGCGCCCGCCUCGCCGCCACGGCUUAUUGCCCUGCACCGCUGUGGCCUCAACCGCAGCGCAGUACCUCCAUGCCGCCAUGCCACUGUGUGUCGUUGAAGCCGCGACCACGAAGGUCCUCCACGGCCUCCUCACUGUGCUGCCACGACCACCACGGCCUCCUCGCCGCGCCGCGCAAUUCCAUAGACCGACACACGGCCCGUAGCAUCGCGCAGCCGCCGGCGAACUCCGCCACCGCAGGCACACCUCCGGUAAGGAGAACGACGCCCAAGAUAAACCAGCUCAUGAUACCAAUUGUUGGUCCCUAG